UAAAAUACGAUGAAUAGAAGGAGUACUUACAAAGAUUUAAUAGAGAGCUGUUGGUUGCUGAAAAACAGUAAAUGGAUGUAAGGAAGGUAGUCUAGGAGUAGAUGUUCUGAGUUUAGUAAGAAUGUCCGGUUACAGCCGUUAUCUGUUUAAGGCAUACAUUGUAUGCAAAUUAAGGUGGUACCACGAGCAUUCGUCCUUUGG
rnacentral:ncRNA from 1 species